rnacentral:rRNA from 1 species
CCUACGGGAGGCAGCAGUGGGGGAUAUUGGACAAUGGGGGGAACCCUGAUCCAGCGACGCCGCGUGAGUGAAGAAGUAUUUCGGUAUGUAAAGCUCUGUCAGCAGGGAAGAAAGAAAUGACGGUACCUGACCAAGAAGCCCCGGCUAACUACGUGCCAGCAGCCGCGGUAAUACGUAGGGGGCAAGCGUUAUCCGGAAUUACUGGGUGUAAAGGGGGCGUAGACGGUUAAGUAAGUCUGGAGGGAAAGGCCGGGGCCCAACCCCGGGACUGCUCUGGAAACUAUUGAACUUGAGUGCAGGAGAGGUAAGCGGAAUUCCUAGUGUAGCGGUGAAAUGCGUAGAUAUUAGGAGGAACACCAGUGGCGAAGGCGGCUUACUGGACUGUAACUGACGUUGAGGCUCGAAAGCGUGGGGAGCAAACAGGAUUAGAUACCCCGGUAGUC